CUUGCCCUUUAGACUGGGAUAACAGAGGGAAACUUCUGAUAAUACUGGAUAAGUUAGUAUAUCGCAUGAUAUGCAAAUGAAAGCUACGGCACUAAAGGAGAGCUUUGCGUCCUAUUAGCUAGUUGGUAAGGUAAGAGCUUACCAAGGCGAUGAUAGGUAGCCGGCCUGAGAGGGUGGACGGCCACAAGGGGACUGAGAUACGGCCCUUACUCCUACGGGAGGCAGCAGCG
rnacentral:rRNA from 1 species